CCUACGGGAGGCAGCAGUGGGGAAUAUUGCACAAUGGGGGAAACCCUGAUGCAGCGACGCCGCGUGAGUGAAGAAGUAAUUCGUUAUGUAAAGCUCUAUCAGUAGGGAAGAAAAUGACGGUAACUGAGUAAUAAGCCCCGGCUAACUUAGUUCCAGCUCCCGCGGGAAUACGUCGGGGGCAACCGUGAUCCGGAUUUACUGGGUGUAAAGGGAGUGUAGACGGCAGGGCAAGUCUGUAGUGAAGGGGUGGGGCUCAACCCCCGGACUGUUCUGGAAACUGUACGGCUGGAGUGCAGGAGAGUUAAGUGGAAUUCCUAGUGUAGCGGUGAAAUGCGUAGAUAUUAGGAGGAACACCAGUGGCGAAGGCGGCUUACUGGACUGUAACUGACGUUGAGGCUCGAAAGCGUGGGGAGCAAACAGGAUUAGAUACCCUGGUAGUC
rnacentral:rRNA from 1 species